rnacentral:rRNA from 1 species
GACGAACGCUGGCGGCGUGCCUAAUACAUGCAAGUCGAACGCACAGUUUAUACCGUAGCUUGCUACACCAUAAACUGUGAGUUGCGAACGGGUGAGUAACGCGUAGGUAACCUGCCUGGUAGCGGGGGAUAACUAUUGGAAACGAUAGCUAAUACCGCAUAAUAUUGAUUAUUGCAUGAUAAUUGAUUGAAAGAUGCUAUUGCAUCACUACCAGAUGGACCUGCGUUGUAUUAGCUAGUAGGUGAGGUAACGGCUCACCUAGGCGACGAUACAUAGCCGACCUGAGAGGGUGAUCGACCACACUGGGACUGAGACACGGCCCAGACUCCUACGGGAGGCAGCAGUAGGGAAUCUUCGGCAAUGGACGAAAGUCUGACCGAGCAACGCCGCGUGAGUGAAGAAGGUUUUCGGAUCGUAAAGCUCUGUUGUAAGAGAAGAACGGGUGUGAGAGUGGAAAGUUCACACUGUGACGGUAUCUUACCAGAAAGGGACGGCUAACUACGUG